AUGGAUAGAGCAGGACGAAUAAUCGUACCUGCCCACUGCAGAAUGGCCCAGCACCGAUGCCGAUGGUUGGGAUUUUCAAUGCUGAUGUUGCAGCUGCUGCCACCGGAGCUGGCACACACUCCAACACAACCGAGAAGCAACCAGCCUCUUGCAACGCGAGUGCUGUCUCUACAACCUGUACACAGAAGCAGAAUAACAUGGAGCAAAAUGUAUGUCAAGACACAGGUCAUGAUACAUGCUAACAGCCAAAUUGCCAGCAAAAACAAACUAGGCACCUUUAUAGCACUAUCAACUGUCUUUCCCUGUGGUCGAAACCCACCAAGUACACUAAUAGCCUGCGGCGUAAGCCCAACGUGCCCCAUGACAGCAAUUCCAGCCUCCACAAUAGCCUUAGCUGCACUGAUCCUAGAUGGAGCUCCUCCUUCCAGUUUGAUUGCAUCCAUUCCACCUUCUUUUAACACCCUCACCGCAGAGUCAACAGCCUGUAAGAAAAGGUAUAUUACAUGA
rnacentral:rRNA from 1 species